GACGAACGCUGGCAGGCGUGCCUAACACAUGCAAGUCAAGGGGUAGCAAUACCACUGGCGCACGGGUGAUUAACGGGUAAAUAAUCUGCCCUUAUCCCCGGAAUAACGCCGAUAAAUUGGUGCUGAAAACGGAUGAGGCACAAUGUGUCAAAUGUAAAGGAUAAGGAUGAGUCUGCGUCUGAUUAGCUAGUUGGUAAGGUAAUGGCUUACCAAGGCAACGAUCAGUAGCUGGUCUGAGAGGACGAUCAGUCACACUGGAACUGGGACACGGUCCAGACUCCUACGGGAGGCAGCAGUGAGGAAUUUUGCACACUGGAGGAAACUCUGAUGCAGCGACGCCGUGUGAGGGACGAAAGGGCUUUGCCCUGUAAACCUCUGUCGGACGGGAAAAAAAGUCUGGUCACUGGACUGGGAUUGUACCGUCAAAGGAAGGGUCGGCUAACUACGUGCCAGCAGCCGCGGUAAUACGUAGGACCCAAGCGUUGUCCGGAUUUACUGGGUGUAAAGGGUGCGCAGGCGGAACUGUGCGUCGAGGGUUAAAGACUUAGGCUCAACCUAAGGAAUGCCCUCGAUACGGCAGAUCUUGAGUGCGAGAGAGGAUAGUGGAAUUCCUGGUGUAGCGGUGAAAUGCGUAGAUAUCAGGAGGAACACCAGUGGCGAAGGCGGCUAUCUGGCUCGCAACUGACGCUCAGGCACGAAAGCGUGGGGAGCAAACAGGAUUAGAUACCCUGGCAGUCCACGCCUUAAACGAUGUAUGCUUGGUGUUGGGACAUCAGUCUCAGUGCCGGAGGAAACCCAUUAAGCAUACCACCUGGGGAGUACGAUCGCAAGGUUGCUGUCG
rnacentral:rRNA from 1 species